UACGUAGGGAGCAAGCGCUAUCCGGAUUUACUGGGUGUAAAGGGCGCGUAGGCGGGAUGGCAAGUCAGAUGUGAAAUCCAGGGGCUCAACCCCUGAACUGCAUUUGAAACUGUCGUUCUUGAGUACUGGAGAGGUUGACGGAGUUCCUAGUGUAGCGGUGAAAUGCGUAGAUAUUAGGAGGAACACCAGUGGCGAAGGCGGUCAACUGGACAGCAACUGACGCUGAGGCGCGAAAGCGUGGGGAGCAAACAGG
rnacentral:rRNA from 1 species